rnacentral:lncRNA from 1 species
UAUGAAUGCACUGUGAACCCACAUAGUUCAUCUUUUAUUUUUCAUUUUAUUUUAUUUUUCUUGAUUUGCUAAAAAACAUUGUGUCGUUGUAUAAUAUAAGUUGUACAUAAUGAGGCGGAUAAAGACUUAUUAGCCACUUUUCUAACUUUAUUAUGUUCUUGCAUACUUGAGGCAACGGAAUGUAUGUCAAUGGCGAUCGAACGAAAUCCCAACAACAGCAAAAAGGUUGCCUUUAUUAUGUUUACCUCCGACCUAAACAUAUUGUAUAAAUAUCAUACUAUGGAUCGUAUAAAAGAACUGGUUCAUAAGGAAAUGUUCUCGUUUUAACAUGCUAUCAUAGCCAAACUCAUUUAAAAACAACAUCCACCAUGAUUCAAAUCUGAAUCUAGUUCGUGUAUCAGUAAGGAAUUGCGGGGGUCAAGAAACCUACGUUGAAUGAAAUGAGGACACUGAAAAGUUUUGUGGUAUUUAAUUAGCAAAACUGUAUUAUUAGAUAUGAUGACGCUUAUUAAGUAAGCAUAUGAAUGGCCAUGGUCGUUGUUUUGUUAUUCUAGCAGUGGAGGAUUUUGGAUUUUCAAAUAAUAGGGUCAUGAUUUCGACCAAAAAAAUUGAUUGGACCAUUUCGUUGAGCACCUGGUAGGAACAUGUCUAUUAUUGCCAACAUCUAUUGAAGGCUUAUGCCAACAUAUGCCAACAACUAGUAUGAUAUGUAGAGGCUUGUCAAGAGUGGCUAUAGGAAACUGUAAAGUAAUGUUGAAUACGGCCAAGACUUGUCAAUUGAAGCAUUUCAUCAUUUUAUGGGCACAAUAGAGUCGCACACAAGAAGAGAGAACAAGGCAUGGAUGAUAAAAAAAAAAAAAAAGUAGAAGGAGGAGAUUGUAAUUUAGUUUGCUUUAAUUGUUUCUACUAUGGUCAAAUACAAUUCAUAUAUAAAUCUACAUAAUUUUUUGAAGAAGUUGGAGACCAAUGAUCCCAUAUUAACUCUACCACUAUAUUCUAUUCUAGUAUUAAAUUAGUCAAUUAAGAUCCACAUGUACUAAUGCUAAUGAAUUGAAUUUCGGUAAUUAGUGUCAGGUAUAUAGGUGGAUUAAUACGCAGUGACAUAAGUAAUUAAUAGUGGAAUUUAUUCAUGCCUACAAUAAGGCUAUAGAGGAAGCAUAUUGGCUUCAAAAGAUAUUAGAGGAUAUAGUCCUGGGCAUAUAAUGUGAUAGUUUGUCGAUUUGGGCAAGGCACAAUGUCUAAAUUGAAAAGAGUCAUUUGCAUUAUAAAAGAGAUAGUGAACAAUCUCUACUAUAAUAAUAAUAUUUUAAGGGCAUGAAGAGGUUAUAGACCUUCCUACAAGUACCGCAAGUGUGGGCGAACAUGCCAAGUGAUAGCAAAUUACUUACUAAGUCCCAAUAUAUGUGACGGGGACUUAACAUUCGAAACAACUACUCUCGUAUGAAAUAUAAAGUCAUAAGAUAGAAUGUGCACACAAUUGUAGAUAGUCAACUGAUCCAAUUAUUAAAGGUUUUCCUAUAGACUGAGUUGAUCAUCGAGGAGAAUGAGGCUAAAGCCAACAUAAUCAAUGAAUCAAUCGGGCAAAACCUAACUGAGUUGAUUGGAAAUCCCAGUCUAAGUUCAAUAGGCAAAUUGGUUAAGCAUGAUUCAAAUAAAGUUAACACACCAUAUAUCUCAUUCGUAUGGUGGCAAAGUGUGUUGUCUGAAGUUUUAGAUUUUAUAUUUAUACUUAAUGAUAUUGAUAUCUUAUAAUAAGAAGAACAAAGCAAACUAUUUGUUACACUUAUGGUUCCAAGAUACGCCUAGAAUUGGCAGCAAAAAGUAGUGGUACGAUGAUACAUAGAAUCAUACAUAACAUACAUAAGAUAUUAAGCAGAAACGAAAUUACGAUAAAAGGGCAACAAACCCUACUCUUGAGUGCAACUGCGCAAGAAAUAUCUCUACACAGUGGCAGAGCCACAUAGAGGUCAGGCUAGGCCUAGACCUAUCCUGGAAUUGGACGAAUAUAUAUGUAUUUGUGAUAGUUUUGAAAGAAUUGUUUGUAUUGAAAAUGUGUAAGGUUACAAGAAAGAGAACUUAUACAAGUGGAGAAGGAUGUCGUGAGUCACCCGAUGAACAUCACACACCAUGCUUCACACACUAAUAUUCUAACACCCAUACUUUACACAUUAAUAUUCUAACACCCAUACUUUACACAUUAACCCAUACCUAUAACCCAUACUUUGGAUAUUAGAUAUUCUACCCAUACCUAUAACCCAUACUUUGGAUAUUAAAUAAUCUAACACUCCCCCUCAAACGAAGGCUAGUAUAUUCAUCAAGCCAAGUUGGACCAAAAGAGUGUUGAAUUGAACCCGAGACAAUCCUUUGGUGAAGAUGUCUGCUAGUUGAUCUGUGCUCCGAACAAAAACAGGUUGAAUGACAUCAGAUUGGGUUUUUUCUCGAACAAAAUGACAGUCCAUUUCAAUGUGUUUGGUUCUUUCAUGAAAUACAGGAUUAGAUGCAAUGUAAAUAGCAGCUUGGUUAUCACAGAAAAGAGGCAUAGGCAGUGUUCUCUUGAACCCUAAGUCGUUGAGCAAACCUUGCAGCCAAAUUAACUCACAGGUAGUAGAUGCCAUGGCACGAUAUUCAGCUUCUGCACUUGAUCGAGCCACCACACUUUGUUUUUUGCUUUUCCAUGUCACCAGAUUUCCACCAACAAAUGUACAAUAUCCAGUAGUAGAUCUUCGAUCAAUUUUGGAGCCACCCCAGUCUGCAUCUGUGUAGCCAACAAUGUGAGCAUUUCCGAUCUUCCUCAUCACAAUCCCAGUUCCAACAGUGCCUUUCAAGUAGCGCAAGAUCCUUCGAACAGCUUGUAAGUGAAUUGAUCGAGGAGCAUGCAUGAACUGACUGACUAGGCUCACGGCAUGCAUGAUAUCAGGACGAGUAAUGGUAAGGUAAAUAAGUUUCCCUACCAAUCUCUGGUAUAAACCAACGUCUAUCAGUAAAUCUCCAUCUAAUCCAAGUUUCUCUUUGCAAGCUAUUGGGGUUGCCACUGGUUUUGCCUCAAGCAUUUUGGACUCUUGAAGUAAAUCAAGUAUGUACUUGCGUUGGUUCAAGAGCAAGCCUUUACUAGAUGAAGCAACUUCAAUGCCUAGAAAAUACUUCAGAGUUCCUAGAUCUUUAAUUGCAAACUUUUUGUGAAGAAAGCCCUUAAGUCGCUGAAUUUCUGUCAAACUAUCACCAGUCACAAUGAGAUCAUCGACAUAGAUGAGAACGACAAGUUUACCUGCUGAACUAUCUCGCACAAAUAGUGAGGAAUCUGCAUUGCUCCUUUUAAAACCAAUGUUCUCUAACACAGAACUUAACUUGGCAUACCAAGCUCGAGGAGAUUGUUUGAGGCCAUAAAUGGCCUUGUGUAACUUGCAAACCAUGCCUCUUCUUCUUGUGGAUGUCCCGGAGGCAACUGCAUGUACACAUCUUCUUUAAGUUCUCCAUGCAGGAAGGCAUUCUUUAACAUCCAUUUGGUAUAGGGGCCAAUCAUGGUUGACAGCAACCGAGAGAAGCACUCUUACCGAGUUCAUCUUUGCCACAGGAGCAAAGGUUUCCUUGUAAUCAAUGCCAUAAGUUUGAGUAAAACCUCUAGCCACCAAUCUAGCUUUGUGUCUCUCCACUGAACCAUCACUCUUAAAUUUGGUUUUAUACACCCAUCGACACCCCACAGCUCUCAUCCCCUUAGGUAGCUUGGUGAUGCUCCAAGUUUUGUUUUCAUUUAGAGCUCUAAGCUCCUCAUCCAUAGCUGUUUGCCAGAUCAAUUGAGAGUUAGCUUCUUGGAAUGAGCUUGGUUCAGAUGAGGCUGAAAUUUUGCUUAGGAAAGCAGCAUGAGACGAAGAUACUCUUGAGUAUUCAAGAUAUUUUUCUAUAGGAUGUCUUGAGGCAUAACUUACAUAAUCUUUAAACCAAGUUGGCUUACCCCGAUUUCUACUAGGGUUUCUCCUUGGAGUGAUCACUUCAGGAGUAAUAGCAAGGUUCUCCUCGGACGAAAUUUGAUUUUGUUCAGUGUCUUCAGUUGAUUCAUUAUCAACAAGUAUGUCAGAUGAUGAAUUACACUCAACUGGAUCAAUCGAAAUUUCAUUGUUGCUUGGUUGAUCUGGAGCUGAAAAAUGAUGAGGCAGUGCAUUGAUUUCCAUAAUUGGCGUGAGGAUUUGAUCAAGAAAGUCCUCCUCCCCAGAAGAUCUUCACCCCUGGUACUAGCAAAAAAAGGAGUUUUCUCGUCAAAAAACCACAUCUCUAGACACCAAAAGUUUCCUGCGCUUUGGGUCAUAGCACUUAUAUCCCUUUUGAACAGAUGAGUACCCUAAGAACAAACACCUUACAGCUCUAGGGUCCAAUUUAUCUCGAUGCAAGGUUUGAAUAUGAACAAAGCAAACACAUCCAAACACUCGAAGGUGAGACAAGUUAAUUUUCCUGCCAUUAAGUGUUUCAAGAGGUGCCUUGAAUUUGAGAACCUUGCUUGGAAGCCUAUUAAUUACAUAUGCAGCAGUAAGAACCCCAUGAGACCAGAAUUUCUUAGGUACACUCAUUUGAAGCAUAAGUGAUCGAGUUUUCUCCAGUAGAUCACGGUUUCUUCCUUUCUGCUACUCCGUUUUGUUGCGGAGUACCAACACAGCUCGUUUGGUGAAUUAUUCCAUGACAAGUUAGAUAUUGAGUAAAAGCAUUAGACAUAUACUCAGUACCAUUGUCUGACCUUAAGACUUUAAGUUGGGUUGAGAACUGAUUUGUAACAAGACUGUGAAAUUCUUGGAACACAUUAAUAACUUCAUCUUUUGAUUUCAACAAAUACAACCAGGUACAUCUUGAGAAAUCAUCCACAAAGGUGACAAAGUAUCUAAAACCAUCAAAAGAAACCAAGGGUGCAGGUCCCCAAACAUCAGAGUGCACAAUCUCAAAAGGUUUACAUGACUUGGUUGAUGAGACAUCAAAAGGCAACCUCGUCUGUUUUUGAAAAAAUGGCAAACUUCACAAUCUUGAGUCAUCACAUUCUCUGAAGUUUUGAAGAGAUGUGAUUGCACAAGAUUAGAGGGAUGCCCUAAUCGUCUAUGCCAUAAUAGAUGAUUCUUCAAAAAACCAACUUGAAGACCUCUAGCUUCAACAGGUUGCAAUGAAAGCAUAUAGAGGCCAUCUUUAUACAUGCCUUCACCAAUCUUCUUCUUCGUGAUACGAUCCUGGAAAAUCACAUUGAAUGGCGAGAAUAUAACAUCACAGUUUAAGGAAUUUGUCAACCUUCCUACUGACAGAAGCUGAAAUGGAAAGGAGGGCACAUAUAGAGCAGUUGAUUCAACAUUAGUAUCAAUUAACUUGACUUUCCCUUCACCCAAAACUGAUACACCAGUUCCAUUAGCAACAGAGACAAAUUGCGGAAUAACUGCCUCUUUAAAGUCAUGCAUAUAUCUUUUUAUAUUUGUAAUGUGAUCAGUCGCUCCAGAGUCUAUUAUCCAAACAUUUGCAAGUUUUCUGGAAGCAAGUGCAGCACUAAAUGAGUUUAGAAUACCUGACAUAUCAACGGAAGAUGACACCUUUGUCUGAAGAAAUUUUGCGAACUGCUCAAAUAAUUCAGUGGUGCUAGCUUCACUGUUUCCUUUAUGAAGAUUGCUUUCAUCUUUCUUCUGAGUGAAGGAAGUGAACUCACUCAAGAGAGCUGAGGGAUUAGAUGUGAAGUUCCCAACAGUUGAGGCAGUCUGCAAGCGAGGGACUUGAUUUGCACUGCGACCAGGUUUGGUUUGUUUGGAAAAGUUAGGCUUAAGGUGUGGAUACAACACCCAACAAGUGUCUCUGAGAUGAUUCUUCUGUCCACAAUGACUGCAUUGCAUUUCUCCUUUCUUUCCUUUGAAAUUUUUUCCUUCAAACCUUCUGUCACUUGCAACGAAAGCUCUAGACUCAGGAUCACCAACCUUAGUACUCAUAACUUUCCUUCUUGCUUCUUCUCGUUGAACGAUAGUGCACACAGUAUUGAGAGAUGGUAGUUCAACACUCAUCAAUAUGUGGCUUCGCAGGUCCUCAUAGGUAGAGUCAAGACUGGAUAAAAGCUGAAAGACCUUGUCUUCUUCAGCCUGCUUAAGAAGGAUUGCUGGGUCUGUAGUGUGAGGUCGAUAGAGAUUCAGCUCAUUCCACAUAGACUUCAGUCUUCCCAAGUGCUCGAUAAAAGUCUUUCCAUCUUGAUUCAAAACAGAAAGACUCUUCUGCAGCUCAAAUAUCCUGGCUGCAUUAUUUUGAUUUCCAUACAUCUCCUUGACAGCCUUCCACAGAUCAAAAGCUGAUUCUGAAAAGCUGAAAAUUUCUGAUACCUUUGAGCCCAUUGAGUUGAGCAACCAGGACAUGACGAGCUGAUCCUUGCAGAACCAUUCUUCAUACUUAGAAUCACCAACCUUGGGAAGGUACGAUAGUUCCAUUGAUGAAACCAAGCUUAGAUCUUCCUCCAAGAGCUAAAGUAAUAGCUCUUGACCAAGGAAGAUAAUUAAACUCAGUUAGGAGUAUGGAACAAAGACGUUGAUUGGGAUUUCCAUCAGCUUCACUUGAAGAAACUGAUGAAGAACCAAGGAUGUUCUCGGAUGAAGCAGCAAGUAUAUUUUCUUCUUCCAUUUCAAAAGAUUUCAGAGAACAGGUUCUUUAGGAAGCCUGCUCUGAUACCAUGUGAUAGUUUUGAAAGAAUUGUUUGUAUUGAAAAUGUGUAAGGUUACAAGAAAGAGAACUUAUACAAGUGGAGAAGGAUGUCGUGAGUCACCGAUGAACAUCACACACCAUGCUUCACACACUAAUAUUCUAACACCCAUACUUUACACAUUAAUAUUCUAACACCCAUACCUUUACACAUUAACCCAUACCUAUAACCCAUACUUUGGAUAUUAGAUAUUCUACCCAUACCUAUAACCCAUACUUUGGAUAUUAA